UACGUAGGGUGCGAGCGUUGUCCGGAAUUAUUGGGCGUAAAGGGCUCGUAGGCGGUCUGUUGCGUCGGUAGUGAAAACUCAGGGCUUAACCCUGAGCCUGCUUCCGAUACGGGCAGACUAGAGGUAUGCAGGGGAGAACGGAAUUCCUGGUGUAGCGGUGAAAUGCGCAGAUAUCGGGAGGAACACCAAUGGCGAAGGCGGGUCUCUGGGCCGAUACUGACGCUGAGGAGCGAAAGCGUGGGGAGCGAACAGG
rnacentral:rRNA from 1 species